UGGGGAAUAUUGCACAAUGGAGGGAACUCUGAUGCAGCGACGCCGCGGGAGUGAUGAAGGAAUUCGUUUCGUAAAACUCUGUUCUAUGGGAAGAAAAGGACUGUACCAUAGGAGAAAGCUCCGGCUAAAUACGUGCCAGCAGCCGCGGUAAUACGUAUGGAGCGAGCGUUGUCCGGAAUUAUUGGGCGUAAAGGGUGCGCAGGCGGCUUUACAAGUUGGAUGUGAAAUAUUGUGGCUCAACCACAAACGUGCAUCCAAAACUGCAAAGGUUGAGUGAAGGAGAGGUAAGUGGAAUUCCUGGUGUAGCGGUGGAAUGCGUAGAUAUCAGGAGGAAUACAGGUGGCGAAGGCGACUUACUGGACUUAAACUGACGCUCAGGCACGAAAGCGUGGGGAGCAAACAGG
rnacentral:rRNA from 1 species